rnacentral:lncRNA from 11 species
GAAAAACACGACCGAUUGAGGAAGUUUACAGGCAUGUUAUCUGAAAGGCUCUAAGCAAUUUGAAGGAAUCGAAAAAUGAUUGCUUUCAAAGAUUCUUUUACUUUCUGAAAGGACAAUGUUUCCACUGCUACAUCUGCUGCUUCUCCUCCAUACUGCUUUUCUGGAAACGUUUGCAACAAGGCUCUCCUAAACAAGAAAAUCUUCUGUGGUGGUCUGGCUUCCCAAGUUAUAAACCAGAAGUGAAUGAAGGUGAAGAAUAAACUGUUGAAUGGCUCAUAUUUUGCAAGUUUGGGUUAUCGAGAAGAAAGACUAUGGACCUAUGGAUUAGAAGUGGAGAAAAUAUAGGUGUGUUUUAUAUAGAACUGUUUCCUGUUAAAAAGUGAAUAGACUUGAAUGCUUUGUAUUCUGGAAUGAAUGAAAAGACAGAUAAGCUGUUGCUGUGGUGAGAAUGCCUUGGUGAAAUGACAGGCCAAUGGAAAAGGAUGGAAAAGCUACCAAUUGGUAUACUUUGGUUGUUUUCAAUGGCUCUAUGUUUAUUCUGAUAAAAUCACACAGAAUCAUUGACUCACAGAAUUGGAA